rnacentral:lncRNA from 7 species
AACUUGAAAUAGAAGAGUCCAUGGUUAACAUGCUGAGAAACUAAUCCAGAAUGGAUUUGAGAUCACAUUCAGAACAUCCUCUCCUAUAUUGGCUGGCAGACUCAAUGGACUGGAACAAACUCUGCAGUGGACUUAGGUCUUUGAUUCCUUUGAACAGGAGAUGGACCGAUCAAACGAAACAACUGUCCCUGCCUUGUGCCUCUGUUCCUGCAAAUGAGGCCAGAAAUGCUUAUUAACAUCUAAGGAGCUUGUGGAGCUGUAUAGAGAAGAGCCAGUGAGCAGGAGACCUCUUCUUCAUUUUAUUCAUCUGGAUGCCAUCAUAGAGCAAUAACUGUGAGAGGUGUGCUCCCUGAGUUGUUGUUUGAAAGGAAGACUUCUUCCUCUGCCUCCACUAGCCAGUGUCAAAAAGUGACACAGCCUGCAAAGAUCCAUCACUUCUCCCCAGAAGGUUAUCUCUGUCUGCUGCUGGGACCCCAAGGCCCUCAAGAAGAUUUUGGAAUUUUGGUGAACAAUCUUUGCCUUCAUAUAUAUAUAUGAUAUUUGUAGAAAUGCCUUUCAUUCUUCUGGCUUUGGGCACGAUCUGGUGUUACUGCUGUCACCCUCUAUUACCUGAUAUAAACAUAUUGAGACCGUUUAUUUUAUCAAAUAGAAUGCCUACAGACACUGCAGGUUGUUUGCCUCAUGCCUGGCAAGCCUCCAACAGCCAACACAUGUCUUGCUUGUUUUCCAGGAACCUUCCUCAAACAAAAUUAAUUGUUGCUUAGUGGACUUUUGUCAUCAAGCCAAAAGUAUAGGGUUCAGAACCAAUUAAUGAUUAGAAAUAAACAGCCAUUGUACUGUUUUUUGGCACUUCCUGGUUGCCACAGUAUGGAGUCAUGGAUUUCCCACACUUCCUAGCCCAGCACAUAUUUUUUCUUGUUGUGCUGAUGGGUUGAUGAUUGGACUAGAUGAUCUUUUCCAACCUUAAUGAUUCUAUGAUUCUAUAAAUACGUUAGCCCCAUCUUUUUUUUUUUCCUGAAAUGAUUAAAAAAUAAAGACUUGUAAG